rnacentral:rRNA from 1 species
GGGGGGGGGGGGGGAGGGGGGGGGGGGAGGCGGGCGGGGGGCGGGGGGGGGGGGGGGGGGGGGGGGGGGGGGGGGGGGGGGGGGCGGGGGGGGCGGGGGGGGGGGGGGGGGGGGCGGGGGGGGCGCGGGGGGCGGGGGCGGGGCCCGGGGUUUUUUUUUUAUUUGGUUUGGAGGCCCAGGGGCCCUGGCCCGGGGGUUUUAAUGCAGGUUGGAGUGGUCGGGGGGCAAAAAAAACCCGAGCUUACAAUUUUCUCUUUCCCGGGGGUUCCCAGAGGAAAAGGAGUCUGACAGGGGGACACCGUGGCCACCUCCCUACGGAGAGGUAACAUUGGAACGGGUUAUAUCCGUACCCACACGAACCGCUUUGUUUUAUUGAAGGCCUUUUGGGUUCGGGGAAGGACGACCCCGCGGCCAUUAGGUAGUUGUGAAGUAACGGCUCACCAAGGCCCCGAUUCCAACCCCCCCUGAGGGGUGUUCGCCCACUUGGGGAUGGAGCCCCGCCCCAAAUUCCUAGGGGGAGCAGCAGUAGGAAUCUUCGGCAAUGGAAGAAAGUUUGACCGAGCAACCCCGCGUGAGUGAAGAAGGUUUUCGGAUCGUAAAACUCUGUUGUUAGAGAAGACCAAGGAUGAGAGUAACUGUUCAUCCCUUGACGGUAUCUAACCAGAAAGCCACGGCUAACUACGUGCCAGCAGCCGCGGUAAUACGUAGGUGGCAAGCGUUGUCCGGAUUUAUUGGGCGUAAAGCGAGCGCAGGCGGUUUCUUAAGUCUGAUGUGAAAGCCCCCGGCUCAACCGGGGAGGGUCAUUGGAAACUGGGAGACUUGAGUGCAGAAGAGGAGAGUGGAAUUCCAUGUGUAGCGGUGAAAUGCGUAGAUAUAUGGAGGAACACCAGUGGCGAAGGCGGCUCUCUGGUCUGUAACUGACGCUGAGGCUCGAAAGCGUGGGGAGCAAACAGGAUUAGAUACCCUGGUAGUCCACGCCGUAAACGAUGAGUGCUAAGUGUUGGAGGGUUUCCGCCCUUCAGUGCUGCAGCUAACGCAUUAAGCACUCCGCCUGGGGAGUACGACCGCAAGGUUGAAACUCAAAGGAAUUGACGGGGGCCCGCACAAGCGGUGGAGCAUGUGGUUUAAUUCGAAGCAACGCGAAGAACCUUACCAGGUCUUGACAUCCUUUGACCACUCUAGAGAUAGAGCUUCCCCUUCGGGGGCAAAGUGACAGGUGGUGCAUGGUUGUCGUCAGCUCGUGUCGUGAGAUGUUGGGUUAAGUCCCGCAACGAGCGCAACCCUUAUUGUUAGUUGCCAUCAUUCAGUUGGGCACUCUAGCAAGACUGCCGGUGACAAACCGGAGGAAGGUGGGGAUGACGUCAAAUCAUCAUGCCCCUUAUGACCUGGGCUACACACGUGCUACAAUGGGAAGUACAACGAGUCGCGAAGUCGCGAGGCUAAGCUAAUCUCUUAAAGCUUCUCUCAGUUCGGAUUGUAGGCUGCAACUCGCCUACAUGAAGCCGGAAUCGCUAGUAAUCGCGGAUCAGCACGCCGCGGUGAAUACGUUCCCGGGCCUUGUACACACCGCCCGUCACACCACGAGAGUUUGUAACACCCGAAGUCGGUGAGGUAACCUUUUGGAGCCAGCCGCCUAAGGUGGGAUAGAUGAUUGGGGUGAAGUCGUAACAAGGUGGCCUCU